ensembl:lncRNA
CUGCAGUGAAUGGGUGCCAUCAGAAUGAGAGUCCAAACAGCUAAUAAAAACAUCACAAUAAUCCACAAGUAGUCCACACCAAUCCAGUGCAUCAGUUAACAUCUGGAGAAGAAAAAGGUUGCACGCUUCCAACAGUCAUAAAGUCCACUGUUUUAGACUGUUUCUGCUUGUAAACAGUGCUUGAUUUGUGCAGAUUUCUCUCCUGACUUUUCAUUAUGGACUCGUAUUUUAAUCCAAAAGUAACAGUUUUAAGUUAAAAAUAUCUUGAUGGAUUUGUUUCCUAACGUGCCGCUUUUGGCUUCACAAAAUAUUAAUUGGUGGACUGGACUGGAGUGGUGUGGAUUAUUUUGAUGUUUUUAUCCUUUGUUUCUCUGCAUGGGAUCCAUUGAUGAGCAAGUGAUGUGAAGCUACAUUUUUCCAAAUCUAUUCCCAUGAAGAAACAAACUCAUCUGCAUCUUUGGUGGUGUGGUACAGCAAAUAACAUUACUUACUUAAUCCUCUUUAUCCCCAAUGGGACAUAAGGCCACUAUCAUCUGACCUCAUAUUGUGGCUCGCUCCAGGUGAGAUGCAUUUCUUCCAGCUCUGAUGUCACUGUCCUCCUCUAGGUGAUCUUUGGUCUUCCUUGUCUUCUCUUACCAAGUGCCACGUUCGGGAUGCGGUGCUGGUCCAUUCUUAAUAAAUGCCCAAGCCAUCUCAACCAUCUGCGUUUGAUCUCAACCACCACACUGUUCUUCUGUAGAGCUCUACAGUACAUUUGAAAUUCUCUCUGGCCAAAAAAUACCAAAUUUUUCACAAGCAGGAGUUUUGGAAGGCAUCCAUCUUUCACAUAUCGCUAUGCAUCACUCCCUAGCAUUCAGAGUCAUACAAGAUUGACUUUGCAUUGCUGUCAUACAGUCUAAUCUUUGUUCGUAGGCUGUAAUGUUUUAACUUCCAGGUGGGCCAGAGUCUAGCAAAGGUGCUAUGAGCCUUCCCAAGAUGUGCAUUAAUAUCUUGCCAACUGCAUUGUCAGUGCCAAAUUAACUUUCCAGGUAGGUGAAUUCCUCUACCAUCACAAGUGGGCUACCAUCAACUGUGAUCCAAUUGGAUUGAUGCACAUACAUAACUUGGGUCUUGGUGGUAAUGAUAUUAAGACCUGUCUGGUUGGCAAUGUUGUGCAGCCUAGUUGUUUUCAGUUGCAAAGAAAUUAAAUUUUUAUAGGAAAACAUUCCAGUAUUUUUCUCUGUAUAGUGGACUUCAGUGGUGGACUUCAAAUUUUUAUUCUGGAAGUGGACUUGUGCUUUUAAGGGACAUUUUAUUUUGAUUCUAAAAUGGAUGUUAUUCAUUGACUUUCAUUGUGUGAAUAACCAAGGAACACAAAAAUCUUCAGCUAAAAAUCGUCUUUAAUGUUUUGCUCAAGAAAAAAGUAACAGAAAAUUUACAUUUUUGAUUAACUAUCUGUUAAACUAUCUAGGUGUCAGGGCAGAAAAAUCAAAAACACAUACAGUGAGUUUUUAUGAGUUUUUAGCUCAAGGACUGCAUUUAAAGUCACACCAGAGGUGUUCAGCUGGGAUUAGUAGUUGGAUUUAUGCAGACCAGUCAAGUUCUUCCACACUGACUCAAUCAAUAUAUAUUUUUUUAUCCUUGCCUCAUACACCGAGGCAUUGACAUGUUAGAAUAGAAAAGGGUCCUGUCCAAACUGUUGCUACAAAAUUAGAAGCACACAAUUCCCUAGAAUAUCAUUAUAUGCUUUAACAUUAAGAUUUGUACUCAUGGAUAUUACUAAAGUAGUCAAACCUGUUCACUGGAAGGGGGUGAGCGAAUACUUUUGGCAAUAUAGUGUAUGUGUGCCAAAAAAAGUUUAUACCUGUGUAUAUACUUGUAAAUACUACACUUGUUUCUUUUUUUUCCAAACAGACAUGUUUAAAAUUGUCGAAUUUGUUGAGACACAUGAGGUGGAGCUGGUUCCAGCCAUUUGGGUGGAGAAUGGCCAGUGCUAUUGGCCUAAUUCACUGAGGGGUAUGGCCCUUCACCUGGCCAUUAAAAACAAGACACCUCCUAACUGUGACUGGGGAAGUUGGGAAGUCCGAACAAUGUUUUCAACAGACAGCUAUGAAGAGGGCAGAAGGAAGGCUAAAGAGGCAGAGACCUGGUCAGACCACCAGUCAGACGCAGAAAUGUCUGGACAGAAACCACCAAGGCGUAAAAUGAAGAAUGUUCGAAUUGGCCCACCUGGAGGUUGCUUACUGGACUCAGAGGAGGAGUCUGGCCCACCCCCCAAGCAACUUCUUCCACCUGCCCCCACUGUAAACCUCCCUGUAGUCAUCCCAAACACAACUUUCACCCCUGUUCCCAUCACCACAUUGCCAGCAGCAGCAGCACCACCACAAGGGACAUAUACAGAGAUGCUGCAAAAUUGGCAGCCGAUGGACGAUGUGCCACCGCUGCGGAGUUGUCAGACGUUCUGAAUUGCCCCCCAGCAAUCAUCAGAACCAGCCCUGCUGAGGGAGGUUCUAACAAAAUUAGAGAUGGUGCUGGACCAGCAAUCCACCAUCCUCAGAUUGUUGCAGCUGCGGGAAGACCAGGGACAGCUUUUGAACAUUGAGGAAGGUUUGCUGCCCCUGCAAGACCUUCCACAACUGCUCAGCCUUGAGCAAAGGAUUCAGCAGAGCCCAGAUUACAAGCAAAAACUAAUAAACUGGUUGGGGCUUAUUGGUGGGGCGGACUGCACCUGGCGCAUAUUAAAGAGGUUGAUUGCCAACUCUCUGGCGAAGAACCUUAAUUGGAGAGGAGUCAAUGGAAAGACUUCAGUGGCCACUCUUCAACUCAGAGGGGUUGUGAUUGCUGCAGUUCGGGGGAAACCCCAUCACUGCUAAUGCAGCUGAAAUGGAGGUUGAGGGGACGAUAAGGAGGUGGCUCCAGCUGGCAGCUGAUCGAGAGGGCGGGCGCAAGAGACGGCUUUUGGAGAAGCCAGCUGUCUAAAGUGCGCUUGUGUCUCUGUCUGUGUUGAGGGGUGGAUGGGCAUGAAAGAGUUUCUGCAUUUGUUUUGCAUUUGUUAAUUAAUAUUUUCUAAAAUAUGUUAAUGUAUUUGUUCAUUAUUUUAAUAAAAUCCCUUAAAAAAUGUAAAUGGUUGUAUUUGUGUUUUCCUGCUAAAUUGAAGUAUGUUUGGCAGUUUCUGGGCCACAUCUGGCCCGGGGACCAAGCCGACUCUCAGCCAGAACUGUCUUAAAGUAUUUGGGCCAGACCUGGGCCACUUAAAACACUAAGUCUUUUUACAGGGUGUGGGCCGCUUCUGGGCCAGAGGAAACUGUUUAUGUAUGCUUUCAGUGAAUGGGCCAGUUUUGGGCAGGGGAUAGCCAGAACUGGGCCAGAACCAGAGCAAGGAUACGGCCCAGAGGUGGGCCAGACAAAUUUUGCUAUCUGGG